rnacentral:misc_RNA from 1 species
GAAAUGCGAUAAGUAAUGUGAAUUGCAGAAUUCAGUGAAUCAUCGAAUCUUUGAACGCACAUUGCGCCCCCUGGUAUUCCGGGGGGCAUGCCUGUUCGAGCGUCAUUUCACCACUCAAGCCUCGCUUGGUAUUGGGCGACGCGGUCCGCCGCGCGCCUCAAAUCGACCGGCUGGGUCUUUCGUCCCCUCAGCGUUGUGGAAACUAUUCGCUAAAGGGUGCCGCGGGAGGCCACGCCGUAAAACAACCCCAUUUCUAAGGUUGACCUCGGAUCGGGUAGGGAUACCCGCUGAACUUAAGC